rnacentral:rRNA from 1 species
GACGAACCUGCACAAACGUUAUUCGGAUUUACUGGGCUUAAAGGGGUGCGUAGGCGGCGUGGAAAGUUGGGUGUGAAAUCCCUCGGCUUAACCGAGGAACUGCGCCCAAAACUACCAUGCUCGAGGGAGACAGGAGGUGAGGCGGAACUUGAGGGUGGAGCGGUAGAAAUGCGUUGAUAUCCUAAGGAACACCAGUAGCGAAAGCGGCUCACUGGGUCUCUUCUGACGCUGAGGCACGAAAGCUAGGGUAAGCGAACGGGG